rnacentral:rRNA from 1 species
CUUGCUUCUCUUGAGAGCGGCGGACGGGUGAGUAAUGCCUAGGAAUCUGCCUGGUAGUGGGGGAUAACGUUCGGAAACGGACGCUAAUACCGCAUACGUCCUACGGGAGAAAGCAGGGGACCUUCGGGCCUUGCGCUAUCAGAUGAGCCUAGGUCGGAUUAGCUAGUUGGUGGGGUAAUGGCUCACCAAGGCGACGAUCCGUAACUGGUCUGAGAGGAUGAUCAGUCACACUGGAACUGAGACACGGUCCAGACUCCUACGGGAGGCAGCAGUGGGGAAUAUUGGACAAUGGGCGAAAGCCUGAUCCAGCCAUGCCGCGUGUGUGAAGAAGGUCUUCGGAUUGUAAAGCACUUUAAGUUGGGAGGAAGGGUUGUAGAUUAAUACUCUGCAAUUUUGACGUUACCGACAGAAUAAGCACCGGCUAACUCUGUGCCAGCAGCCGCGGUAAUACAGAGGGUGCAAGCGUUAAUCGGAAUUACUGGGCGUAAAGCGCGCGUAGGUGGUUUGUUAAGUUGGAUGUGAAAUCCCCGGGCUCAACCUGGGAACUGCAUUCAAAACUGACUGACUAGAGUAUGGUAGAGGGUGGUGGAAUUUCCUGUGUAGCGGUGAAAUGCGUAGAUAUAGGAAGGAACACCAGUGGCGAAGGCGACCACCUGGACUAAUACUGACACUGAGGUGCGAAAGCGUGGGGA